GACGAACGCUGGCGGCGUGCUUAACACAUGCAAGUCGAACGAUGAAGCUAGAGCUUGCUCUGGUGGAUUAGUGGCGAACGGGUGAGUAACACGUGAGUAACCUGCCCCGAACUCUGGGAUAACUGCUGGAAACGGUAGCUAAUACCGGAUAUGACCAAUGAAGGCAUCUUCUGUUGGUGGAAAGAAUUUCGGUUCGGGAUGGACUCGGGGCCUAUCAGCUUGUUGGUGAGGUAACGGCUCACCAAGGCGACGACGGGUAGCCGGCCUGAGAGGGUGAUCGGCCACACUGGGACUGAGACACGGCCCAGACUCCUACGGGAGGCAGCAGUGGGGAAUAUUGCACAAUGGGCGCGAGCCUGAUGCAGCAACGCCGCGUGAGGGACGACGGCCUUCGGGUUGUAAACCUCUUUUAGUAGGGAAGAAGCGAAAGUGACGGUACCUGCAGAAAAAGCACCGGCUAACUACGUGCCAGCAGCCGCCGUAA
rnacentral:rRNA from 1 species